GACGAACGCUGGCGGCGUGCCUAAUACAUGCAAGUAGAACGCAGUGGCGAACGGGUGAGUAACGCGUAGGUAACUGCCUCAUCGCGGGGGAUAACUAUUGGAAACGAUAGCUAAUACCGCCUACUGUGAGAUGGACCUGCGUUGUAUUAGCUAGUUGGUGAGGUAAAGGCACACCAAGGCGACGAUACAUAGCCGACCUGAGAGGGUGAACGAGCAAACUGGGACUGGGACACGGCCCCGGCUCCUACGGGAGGCAGCAGUAGGGAAGCUUCGGAAAUGGACGGAAGUCUGACCGAGCAACGCCGCGUGAGUGAAGAAGGUUUUGGGAUCGUAAAGCUCUGUUGUUAGAGAAGCGGUAUCUAACCAGAAAGGGACGGCUAACUACGUGCCAGCAGCCGCGGUAAUAC
rnacentral:rRNA from 1 species